UACGGGGGGAGCAAGCGUUGUUCGGAUUUACUGGGCGUAAAGGGCGCGUAGGCGGCACCGCAAGUCGACUGUGAAAUCUCCGGGCUUAACCCGGAAAGGUCAGCCGAUACUGCGGGGCUAGAGUGCAGAAGGGGCAACUGGAAUUCUCGGUGUAGCGGUGAAAUGCGUAGAUAUCGAGAGGAACACCUGCGGCGAAGGCGGGUUGCUGGGCUGACACUGACGCUGAUGCGCGAAAGCUGGGGGAGCAAACCGG
rnacentral:rRNA from 1 species